GAUGAACGCUGGCGGCGUGCCUAAUACAUGCAAGUAGAACGCUGAAGGAGGAGCUUGCUCUUCUGGAUGAGUUGCGAACGGGUGAGUAACGCGUAGGUAACCUGCCUGGUAGCGGGGGAUAACUAUUGGAAACGAUAGCUAAUACCGCAUGACAACAGUUAUUGCAUGAUAACUGUUUAAAAGGGGCAACUGCUCCACUACCAGAUGGACCUGCGUUGUAUUAGCUAGUUGGUGAGGUAACGGCUCACCAAGGCGACGAUACAUAGCCGACCUGAGAGGGGGAUCGGCCACACUGGGACUGAGACACGGCCCAGACUCCUACGGGAGGCAGCAGUAGGGAAUCUUCGGCAAUGGACGGAAGUCUGACCGAGCAACGCCGCGGGAGUGAAGAAGGUUUUCGGAUCGUAAAGCUCUGUUGUAAGAGAAGAACGAGUGUGAGAGUGGAAAGUUCACACUGUGACGGUACCUUACCAGAAAGGGACGGCUAACUACGUG
rnacentral:rRNA from 1 species